UGUGAAUCGUUCAGUUAAGGGCUUUGAAGAUUUUGGCCUGCCUAGUAGUCCGCCAUUUUACUUCUUUUCCA